CCGGCCCGCGCGAGAGCGCGCUCUGCUGCACUGCGCCGGGCCCGGCGGGCCUGAGGCUCUGGGCGUGGGCGCCGCCGCGCGGGGGCGGGGGCGGGCCCUGGCCUCCAGCAGCUGUGCGCCUCUGGCUGCCGGGGGGAUUCGGCCGCCCGCAAGCCGGUAACCCGGUCCUUCACGUGGGAAACCUUGAGGCGGCGCAGCCACGAGGGCAGGGGUCCGGAGCCGCGCAGCCGGGACUCGGGGGCCCUGGCAGUCGGGAUAGCCCACGCCAGCAAAUCCCGCUGUCCCGAUCCGAGACCCCCGGGACCCGUCCUCAGCGACCUGGGGUGCAGCCAUCACCCCGCUCCAGCCAAAUCAGGAAGAAGCCUGCAAUCCGACAGUAUCAGAUUUAUUUGUAAUCAGGAGGGAGGGCACUCCAGAGGAAGCUUGGAUACCGCUCAGAAAGAGAACAGGAAGGCUUGUCCCACUAGCUGAAGAUGGUGCCGACCUCUCUGCACUUUUGCUUCUGGUGAUUCAACUAAGAGUGCCCACAGAGAAGUGAAGAGAUGCAGAAGUCGUCGCUACAGGAUGGGAGUUGUUACCACAGCCGCAGCAGGUGAGCUCAGAGUGGCAGGGGCUUGGGGGAAGGGGCAUUAACAGAUUCUGUCACACAGAAGGUGGAGUGAAGCUUGGAGGGUGGAUGUCCCAAUAUUUCAACCAUGAGUUCGGCGGACUUAGCUCCUCCAUCACUGGCCUCAAGCACUGGCAGGCUCUGGCCAAUACAUUCACAGAUAGGGAAGCAGAGCUGCAUACGCCGUGCCUUAGGUGUAGGCGCACCCAGGAGGAAGAGGACGGGGCUCUGGUGGGCCUGCUCACUAGCCAGGCGUGGCACUUCUCCCUGGGGAGGACGUGAGGCAGGAGAGACGGCAGGGGAGGUGAACAGAGUCUUCCAUGUGGAGACAGAAGCCCAGGAAAUGGAGGGCCCCAACAGAAACCAGUGUAUAAAAGCUAGUAAGGAAAGAAAGAAAGAAAGGAAAUUGUAUUCUCUUAUUAUUUCAGAGUAUCAAGGUAUUAGUUCAGUUGUUCAAUCAUGUCCCACCCUUUGCGACUCCAUGGACCGCGGCACACCAGGCCUCCCUGUCCAUCACCAACUCCCGGAGUUCACCCAGACUCAUGUCCA